AUUGAACGCUGGCGGAAUGCUUUACACAUGCAAGUCGAACGGUAGAGGGGGCAACCCCUCGAGAGUGGCGAACGGGUGAGUAAUAUAUCGGAACGUGCCCAGUCGUGGGGGAUAACGUAGUGAAAAUUACGCUAAUACCGCAUACGAUCUAAGAAUGAAAGCGGGGGAUCGCAAGACCUAGCGCGAUUGGAGCGGCCGAUAUCAGAUUAGGUAGUUGGUAGGGUAAAGGCCUACCAAGCCAACGAUCUGUAGCUGGGCUGAGAGGACGACCAGCCACACUGGAACUGAGACACGGUCCAGACUCCUACGGGAGGCAGCAGUGGGGAAUUUUGGACAAUGGGCGAAAGCCUGAUUCAGCCAUUCCGCGUGCAGGAUGAAGGCCCUCGGGUUGUAAACUGCUUUUGUACAGAACGAAAAGGUCUCUAUUAAUACUAGGGGCUCAUGACGGUACUGUAAGAAUAAGCACCGGCUAACUACGUGCCAGCCGCCGCCGUAA
rnacentral:rRNA from 1 species